GUCUCUAAAUAAAAUAUGAAAUAGGGCUGGGAAUGUGGCUCAGUGGCUGAAUGCACCAGUUCAAUCCCUGGUACCCCCCCCAAAAAAAAGUCAUUAGUGAAGAAAGAUGAAUAAUUUUAUCAGUGGAAAAAGGACAGGAAUAGGUAAGUCACAGAGAAGAAAAUAAAAAGUGUCCUAUGAACGUGACAACUUGUUUAACUAUGACCAGUUGAACAUACCUGUCUUUACUCCCAUCUGUUACCCAGGAAAAAACAAAUUAAACCCCAUCGUUUUGUUUGCUUUAGAGUGACAGACACUGAUGUGAGAGGUCACGCGACUGGGCUGUACAUUGGUGCCUGCUGGCUUUGCUGUCGAUAGUCUCCUGGGAACUGAGGUCACUCUUACUGAGAACACUGGCCUGCAGGUGCCCCAUGGUGACUGGAACAGGGUGAAAAGCUUCACCUGUUUUCGCUGCUGUGCCCGAAUCCUCCAUUGCUGGACCUUUGGUCAGAUUCUACUUAGCUCUGCCUGUGGACCUGUUGGGCACUUGGGAAAUGUCUUGUCUACAACUGUGACAUAGGAUUCACUUGACCUGGAUGUGCCUCGUCUCCUGCCCCACUUAAAACUGACCAUGACUUGUCAGCCACUGUGACUGUCAAAGGAACACCAGGAAGGACCUGAGAGAGGCAGCCUCUGAGUUCCAGAAGAGACAAGAGGCCUCCUGCUCCUGGCUGGCCAGAGCUGGCCCUCACCUGCUCCCCCAGGCUGAGCCCUUGGUCCUGGCAUGAGACCUGGGUUCAUGAGCCCAGCUCCCUCCUUGCUGUCUCCCCAAUGCUCGUCUCUCAGACAUGGGCUUCCAUGUUACGAGCUACCACAGCAGGCUCAGAAACACAGCCAGGCCCUCCUCAGACUGCAGAACAGAAUUGCUGUGUGCAGCUCUGCAGCACGGAGGAGAGACAGCAGAUGAGAAGUCCAGGCGCCAUCUGGCAAGCCGGAAAGCAGAUGGACAGAGAGGGCCCUUGACUGGCCAUCAAAGCAGAAUGAAGGCCACAGGAGCAGGAAGUGGGUGUGGACACAGAAGCCAGGAAGCAGCAAACCUACUCUCCUGAGACCCCAAGGGCACAGGGUUUGCAGCUUUUGGGUCUUUCCAAACAUGGGCAGAUGGUGAGGACAAAAACGGAGGUUUGGCUGAGGUGACAUCUACAGGCAGCUUCACCCUAGAGUCCUCUCUGCUCCAUGGGUCACACAGCUGAACAAUGGCCCCGGCAGAAGCCUGGAGGUUGGGUCUCCUGAGUGUCGGUUGCUGGUGCCCUGAACACAGGCUUCAGCAAAGGGCACCUGCUAGGUGCUAGAUCCCCACCCCACUGGUCUCCUUUGGGUUCAGAUGCUACCUUCUGAGCAGAGGUGGAGGAGUUCUCUAUGGGGAAAUUAGUGAGCCCAGGAGAAAGUGAUAGACCCAGCCUGAUUCCCUCUUAACAUUGGGACCAUCUCGCCACAAAGCCAUGAAAAGAUAAUUUCAGCUUUACCAUAAAUUACUGAAAAUUCUGAACUUGCUUGGAAUGCCUGCUCAUGCCUUGAACUCACCCAUGCCUGGCUCUCUCUUACCAGAAGGUAGCCCUCUCUGAAACUUUAGUGACGCCUCAUAAAUCUUGGCCUUCCCUGGACAGAUAACGACUCUCUCUGAGGCUCUAAUGACCUUCAUAAAUUCUGAUGUCAGGGCCAGCAAAAAUGUAAACUAGCCUUUGUGUUAUGCUCGUCAGAGUUUUGUUAUCUGUAACCCCCCUUUGUGUGACUUUCUGGGCUAUAAAGCUGGGCUGCAAGAAAGCUGUAGUGCAUCUUGUUCCCGUGGUUUUUGUUGGGAGAGGCAGCCCAGCCAGUCAAAAUAAUAAGCUUGCUUUAAUUUGAUUUUAAUUGGAA
rnacentral:lncRNA from 1 species